CCUACGGGAGGCAGCAGUGGGGAAUAUUGCUCAAUGGGCGCAAGCCUGAAGCAGCCACGCCGCGUGGAGGAUGAAGGUUUUAGGAUUGUAAACUCCUUUUGGUCGGGAAGAAUAUGACGGUAUCUAUCGCCUAAGCACUGGCCAACACCGUGCCAGCAGCCGCGGUCAUACGGAGGGUGCAAGCGUUACUCGGAAUCACUGGGCGUAAAGGGUGCGUAGGCGGGGUAAUAAGUCAGAUGUGAAAUCCUUUAGCUUAACUACAGAACUGCAUUUGAAACUGGUACUCUGGAGUGUGGGAGAGGUAGGUGGAAUGCUUGGUGUAGGGGUGAAAUGCGUAGAGAUCAAGAGGAAUACUGAUGGCGAAGGCGACCUGCUGGAACAAUACUGACGCUGAGGCACGAAAGCGUGGGGAGCAAACAGGAUUAGAUACCCUUGUAGUC
rnacentral:rRNA from 1 species